rnacentral:rRNA from 1 species
UACGGAGGGGGCUAGCGUUAUUCGGAAUUACUGGGCGUAAAGCGCACGUAGGCGGCUUUGUAAGUCAGAGGUGAAAGCCUGGAGCUCAACUCCAGAACUGCCUUUGAGACUGCAUCGCUUGAAUCCAGGAGGGGUGAGUGGAAUUCCGAGUGUAGAGGUGAAAUUCGUAGAUAUUCGGAAGAACACCAGUGGCGAAGGCGGCUCACUGGACUGGUAUUGACGCUGAGGUGCGAAAGCGUGGGGAGCAAACAGG